AUUGAACGCUGGCGGCAGGCCUAACACAUGCAAGUCGAACGAGUGGCGGACGGGUGAGUAAUGUCUGGGAAACUGCCUGAUGGAGGGGGAUAACUACUGGAAACAGUAGCUAAUACCGCAUACCAUCAGAUGUGCCCAGAUGGGAUUAGCUUGUUGGUGGGGUAACGGCUCACCAAGGCGACGAUCCCUAGCUGGUCUGAGAGGAUGACCAGCCACACGUGAACUGAGACACGGUCCAGAACCCUAAGGGAGGCAGCAGUGGGGAAUAUUGGACAAUGGGCGCAAGCCUUAUGCAGCCAUGCCGCGGGUAUGAAGAAGGGCUUCGGGUUGUAAAGUACUUUCAGCCGGGAGGCGUUACCCGCAGAAGAAGCACCGGCUAACCCCGUGCCAGCAGCCGCGGUAAUUC
rnacentral:rRNA from 1 species